UGCGUAGGUGGUUUCUUAAGUCAGAGAUGAAAGGCUACGGCUCAACCGUAGUAAGCCUUUGAAACUGGGAAACUUGAGUGCAGGAGAGGAGAGUGGAAUUCCUAGUGUAGCGGUGAAAUGCGUAGAUAUUAGGAGGAACACCAGUUGCGAAGGCGGCUCUCUGGACUGUAACUGACACUGAGGCACGAAAGCGUGGGGAGCAACA
rnacentral:rRNA from 1 species